UACGGGAGGCAGCAGGGGGGAAUUUUGGACAAUGGGCGAAAGCCUGAUCCAGCAAUGCCGCGUGUGUGAAGAAGGCCUUCGGGUUGUAAAGCACUUUUGUCCGGAAAGAAAUGGCUCUGGUUAAUACCUGGGGUCGAUGACGGUACCGGAAGAAUAAGGACCGGCUAACUACGUGCCAGCAGCCGCGGUAAUACGUAGGGUCCAAGCGUUAAUCGGAAUUACUGGGCGUAAAGCGUGCGCAGGCGGUUGUGCAAGACCGAUGUGAAAUCCCCGAGCUUAACUUGGGAAUUGCAUUGGUGACUGCACGGCUAGAGUGUGUCAGAGGGGGGUAGAAUUCCACGUGUAGCAGUGAAAUGCGUAGAGAUGUGGAGGAAUACCGAUGGCGAAGGCAGCCCCCUGGGAUAACACUGACGCUCAUGCACGAAAGCGUGGGGAGCAAACAGGAUUAGAUACCCUGGUAGUCCACGCCCUAAACGAUGUCAACUAGUUGUUGGGGAUUCAUUUCCUUAGUAACGUAGCUAACGCGUGAAGUGA
rnacentral:rRNA from 1 species